GACGAACCGUGCGAACGUUGUUCGGAAUCACUGGGCUUAAAGGGCGCGUAGGCGGGCUUGCAAGUCUGUGGUGAAAUCCUCCAGCCCAACUGGAGAACUGCCGUGGAUACUGCGAGUCUCGAGGGAGGUAGGGGCGUGCGGAACAGAUGGUGGAGCGGUGAAAUGCGUUGAUAUCAUCUGGAACUCCGGUGGCGAAGGCGGCACGCUGGACCGCAUCUGACGCUGAGGCGCGAAAGCUAGGGGAGCAAACGGG
rnacentral:rRNA from 1 species